rnacentral:rRNA from 1 species
AACGAACGCUGGCGGCAGGCUUAACACAUGCAAGUCGAGCGCCCCGCAAGGGGAGCGGCAGACGGGUGAGUAACACGUGGGAAUCUACCCAUCCCUACGGAACAACUCCGGGAAACUGGAGCUAAUACCGUAUACGCCCUUCGGGGGAAAGAUUUAUCGGGGAUGGAUGAGCCCGCGUUGGAUUAGCUAGUUGGUGGGGUAAAGGCCUACCAAGGCGACGAUCCAUAGCUGGUCUGAGAGGAUGAUCAGCCACAUUGGGACUGAGACACGGCCCAAACUCCUACGGGAGGCAGCAGUGGGGAAUAUUGGACAAUGGGCGCAAGCCUGAUCCAGCCAUGCCGCGUGAGUGAUGAAGGCCUUAGGGUUGUAAAGCUCUUUCACCGAUGAAGAUAAUGACGGUAGUCGGAGAAGAAGCCCCGGCUAACUUCGUGCCAGCCGCCGCGGUAAAAC